CUUGUUUCACUUUUUUUUAUUUUUUUUCUCACUUUCAAAAUUCAUAUUAAAUUGAUAAAUGAUCCAAAGAAUAUGGGAAUUUUUGCAUUAUAUUCCUUAUUGUGUCUAGUUUUUUUUUUCUUUCCCUAAAUUGUGCAUGGCUGAAAAAUAUUUUGCCCUAGGGUUUGUGAACAUGUAUGCUAUUGGUACCUUGCCUUGCCAUAUCUUUUGUGAAAUGAUGGUUGUUUAUCCAAUGCUCAUGAGAUUUUGCAUGCUUAAACUAGACUCUUG
rnacentral:lncRNA from 1 species